AACGAACGCUGGCGGCAUGCCUAACACAUGCAAGUCGAACGAGACCUUCGGGUCUAGUGGCGCACGGGUGCGUAACGCGUGGGAACCUGCCCUUAGGUUCGGAAUAACUCCCCGAAAGGGGUGCUAAUACCGGAUAAUGUCUUCGGACCAAAGAUUUAUCGCCUUUGGAUGGGCCCGCGUUGGAUUAGCUAGUUGGUAGGGUAAAAGCCUACCAAGGCGACGAUCCAUAGCUGGUCUGAGAGGAUGAUCAGCCACACUGGGACUGAGACACGGCCCAGACGCCUACGGGAGGCAGCAGUGGGGAAUAUUGGACAAUGGGCGAAAGCCUGAUCCAGCAAUGCCGCGUGAGUGAUGAAGGCCUUAGGGUUGUAAAGCUCUUUUACCCGGGAUGAGAAUGACAGUACCGGGAGAAUAAGCUCCGGCUAACUCCGUG
rnacentral:rRNA from 1 species